GGUGAACGCUGGCGGCGUGCUUAAGACAUGCAAGUCGAACGCAGUCUUCGGACUGAGUGGCGCACGGGUGAGUAACACGUAACUGACCUACCCCCAAGUCGCGAAUAACCAGCCGAAAGGAUGGCUAAUACGUGAUGUGAUGAUCCGCUGUGGCGGAUCAUUAAAGACUUGAUCGCUUGGGGAUGGGGUUGCGUUCCAUCAGCUAGUUGGUAAGGUAAAGGCUUACCAAGGCAACGACGGAUAGCCGGCCUGAGAGGGUGGCCGGCCACGGGGGCACUGAGACACGGGUCCCACUACUACGGGAGGCAGCAGUUAGGAAUCUUCCACAAUGGGCGCAAGCCUGAUGGAGCGACGCCGCGUGAGGGAUGAAGGUUCUCGGAUCGUAAACCUCUGAACCAACGACGAAAGACCCGACAAGGGAGAUGACGGUAGUUGGGUAAUAGCACCGGCUAACUCCGUGCCAGCAGCCGCGGUAAUAC
rnacentral:rRNA from 1 species